rnacentral:lncRNA from 1 species
UUUUUUUUUUUUUUUUGGUGUGGCUAUUUCACUGCUUUUCUAGUGAAAACCAGAUUUUCUAAUAAGAAAGAAAAGUGACAUUACAGCACACUUAAGUCUCUGGACUCAUCAUUGGCCUUAAAAAAAAAAAAAAAUAGGAGUUCCCAUCAUGGCUCAAGGGUAACAAAUCUGACUAGUAUCUUUGAGGUCGCAGGUUUAAUCUCUGGCCUCACUCAGUGGGUUAAGGAUCUGGCAUUGCUGUGGCUGUGGUGUAGGCCAGCAGCUACAGCGGAUUCAACCCCUAGUCUGGGAACUUCCAUAUGCCGUGGGUGAGGCUCUAAAGAAACCAAAAAUAAAUAAAUAAAUGAGUAAAUAAAAACCCCACAAUACUCAGAGACACAGAGGUUUCCAUAUACACUUUUUCCCACACAGCUUCCCCUCUUAGCAACACCCCCAACCAAAGUGGUAUAUUUGCUGUAAUUAAUAAACCUAUAUCUACACAUAAUAAUCAAUCCUGUUGCCCAAUCUAUGGCCUUGGACAAGGGUUUCACCUGGAGUAUUUUCACUGCUCUAACAAUUCUCUCUCUUUCACUGAUUCAUCUCUCCCUGCCUCCAUCCCAACCCCUGGCAACCACUGAUGGUUUUCUGUCUCUACACUUUUGCCUUUUCUGGAAUGUCAUAUAGUCAGAAUCAUACAGUGUAUAGCCUUUCCAGGUUGGCUUCUCUUACGUAGCCAGAUGCAUUCAGUUUUCCUCUGUGUCUUGUCAGGUCUCAGUUGUCUGGAUGGACCACAGUUUGUUCAUCCAUUCACCUGCUGAAGGACAUCUUGGUGGCUUCUAGGUUUUGGCAAUGAUGAAUAAAACUCCUAUAAACAUUCACGUAUAAGUUUUUUAUGUGGAAAUAAGUGUGCAAUUCAUUUGGGUAAACACCAAGGAGCAUGAUUGCUGUAUCAUAUGAUAAGAGUACCUCUAAUUUCGUAAGAGACUCCUGAACUGUCUCCUAAAGCGAUGGUGUGACUGCAGUCCCACCAGCAUGGAACGGGAGUUCCUGUAGCUCCAUGUCCUCGCCGGGGUUUGGUGACGUCAGUGUUCCAGAUUCUGGUCCUUCUAACAGGUGUGGACCCCUUAUUUUCAUUGGCAAUUCCUUAAUAUAUUUGCUGUGGAACAACUUUUCAUAUGCUUACUUGCCAUCUCUAUGUCUUCUUCUCGAGGUUCUUUUAAAGUCUUGGCCUUGUUUUUAAAUCUGGUUGUUAUCUUUCUUACUGCUAAUUUAUUUUUGGCUUUUUAGGGCCGCACUCACAGCAUAUGGAGGUUCCCAGGCUCGGGGUCAAUCAGAGCCACAGCUGCCAGCCUACACCACAGCCACAGCAACAGCAACACCAGAUCUGAGCUGUGUCUGCAACCUACACCACAGCUCACAACACCACCAGAUUCUUAAACUACUGAGAAAAGCCAGGGAAUGAACCUGCAUCCUCAUAGAUAAUAGUCAGAUUUGUUUUUGCUGAGACAUGGCAGGAACACCUUACUUCUGAUUUUUGAGUUCCUUGUAUAUUUUGGAUAACAAACCUUUAUCAGAUAUGUCUUUUGAAAAUAUUCUCCCUGUCUGUGGUUUGUCCUUUCAUUCUCUUGACAAUGUUUUAUGUAGGACAACAUUUUUUUAAAAAAAAUGAAGUGCAGCUUAUCAAUUAUUUCUUUUAAAGAUUUUGCUUUUAAUGUUGUAUCUAAGUAAUCGCAUUCCCCAGGUUCAUCUGGAUGUUUCCUAUGUUAUCUUCCAGGAGUUUCAGUGUUUUGUGGUUUACAUUUAGGACUGUGACUAAUUUGGGGUUAAUGUUUGUGAAAGAUGUAAGGCAUUUGAGUUAAUGUUUGCCAAAGAUGUAAGGUCUGCUUCCGGAGUAAUUUUCUUGCAUGUGGAUGUCCAGGUGUUUUAGAGCCAUUAGUUGAUAAAACACCACUGGCUUUUCAUGUUUUGGCAACUAUAUUUCUUAUAAAAAAAUCUAGUUGGUACAUCAGAAAAGAUUGACAUAAGUAGCCUUAGGUAAGCUUGAGUCAAAUUUAUUUUUCUGGAAAGAAGUAACAUUCGAAUUAGCUGGAUAUAAAACAUAAUUGUAGAGAGAGGCCCAUUUUGUCACCUCUACUUAUAUGUUUCUUUGUAAGGAUUUUUUUCAGGUAUAUAUACUAAUUUAGGAAAGAAGAAAACAAACAUGCAAUUCUUCAAACCCAUACUAUAAACAUGGAGACAUUCUUUUAAAUCGUUGACGUAUCAUAGCCAAAUGAUAUCUGUGAGCAUGGAAGGACUGACUCAUUAAUAAAACUACUAAGCCAUCUAUAAUAUUCUAGGGGUUCUGGGUACUGUAUAAAUCAGAAUAACCUUAAAAGUCAUAUAAACAUUGACACUUAGUUUUCUGAGAAAUAUUUGAGUGUGUUUCAUACCAAAGGAGUUGUGUUAUUUCGUUCUUAAUAAAGUUAAACUAAGUUCCGUCAUUGGAAACUACUCCUUAAUCACAGGAGACCCACAGUAAUGCUUGAAUUUGGUGAGAUUUAGGGAAACUAUUGGGCCUCUGUGGUCCUCCAUCCCCUCAUUUAGCUCGCAAAGAAUUUCAAUCUAGACAGUAACCUGUAAGGAUCCGUCAUUUUAUUUCACUCCCUGGGCUAAGCCUAUGCUGGCAUUUGGAAGAGGGACGAUAAAGGGUGACACUGUGUUUUUAAUGAAUAUAAACCUUGUAAUACAUUAAGAGAAAUGGAUCAUCCAUUUUGCAUUAAUUCCGAAUCUCAAAAGAAGGAUCUCCUAACUGGUAGCCAUGAGAGCAGGAACCUGAGGUGGGAGGAGGCGUGGGCUACAAGGAUGUGGAACCAUCCUUACCUAUUCGUGGGCGUACAUCUGACAUCUGAGAAAAGGGGGCUUUAGUCUCCCUGGUCCUGCCUGCUGAAAAAAUCAUUGGCCUCUCCACUCUCUUCCUACUUUCUCCACCUCAUUAUCUCAUCUCAAGUUCCCUCCCAUCCAUGUGCUCACUGCUUGCACCCGUUAGCGACUUUCCUUCUCCCAGUUUUGCCUCAACCUUACCCUCGAAGGCAGUUUUACUGUUGUCUUCCUGCUCCAACCACUAUGCAGAGUCCCUGCGUUACUCACCCCACACACCCAACGCUCAGGAUCCAGCCCCCGCGCACCUUAGCCGACUUGGCCAGCACCUCUUCUGGACCUUAGACCACUGAUGUGUUGAGAGCAGCCAGGAAGCUUUAGGGGAUGAGGAGGGACAUAAAGAGACAUAUCUCCUUCCAUAGGGGCGUCACAUUUCAUGUGGAGACAUUGCCAUAAAUACGUGACAGGUGGAGAAUUCGAGAGCAUUUGCCCGAGUACAGUUAUGAUUACUCACUUAUUUAUAGAAUCAGAUUGCAUUCCAUUUUUGACAUUGACUUUUUGGUCUUACUCAUGUGUUUGACAUUGACUGUCUCCCAGGGAAAUUAGGUGGAGUCAAUCAUGUCUGCUGGUAUAAUUGUAAAGCACACACAUUAAAGAAGCGAGUACAUGUGUACAAAGAAAUUCAUAUUUGCAUUAUGGGGUAGCCUUUUAAAAAUGGGUGUUUUGAUGUAAGAAGAUAAUUUUGAACUUAGUAAAAGGAAAUAUAUUUCUGGUUCUAUAUUCAUUUCCUGUGAAACCUUGAAUCACUCAAAAAACCUUUAUCUUUCUCUCUUUCUGAAAACUUAAAUGGGGAUAGAUAGUCUUAUUUUUAGCAUUUUUUUCCAAGUUGAAAGUUCUAUUAUUUUAAAAAUUGUAUGUUCGGGUUUCCUAGGAGAUCUAACUCAAGAUUAUGUUUCAGACCCAAAGAUUAUCAAGAAAGAAUUAAGAGGCAUUUAUACUAAAGAAAUGUAUUUUCUUUUGUCUACAUGGACUUCAAGGAAAAAAAUCAUCUAAAAAGAUGGUUUUAAACUUGGUUUUACAAGCUGACUUGAAAAUUAAAUCAUAAUACCACAUUUGUACAUGCUCAACCAUGUAAAGACUCUUGUUUCUUUAGUAACUUUUCAUUCUUUCUUCACAGUCUUGGGAAAAGCCAGUCUUCAUUUAUCUCUUGUUCUGCUCCAUGUUUUGCAUUUCCUGGUGACACAGGUUAUUUUGAAGCCCCUCAGAUAAACUUUUGUUGACUGAGUGAAUGCAAGCCAGUCUCCCAGUCACUUUCAGAAAUUCCAUUUUGUUUAUUUAUUAUUUGUUAUUGUUUUUUAUUUUAAAGGCUGCACCAGAGGCAAUAUGGAAGUUCCCAGACUAGGGGUCAAAUCGGAGGUGUAGCCGCUGGCCCACACCACAGCCACAGCAACGCCAGAUCCGAGCCGUGACUGUGACCUACACUUCACAACAAUGCUGGAUCCUUAACCCACUGAGCUGGGCCAGGGAUCGAACCCACAUCCUCAUGGAUACCAGUCAGGUUCGUUACUACUAAGCCACAAUCAAACUCCAGAAAUUCCAUCUUAAAUCACAGUUAGUCCAGGCCGGUCUUCUUUAAAAGGCAAGGUUUGGGGUAAAGGCGAGCUACUCUAUUGGGUUAAACAUCUCAGUGGUAACAAUUGGAAACUCUGGACAAAACUUUCGAAAAAGUUAUUUGAGUGCUUCUCACGCAACCCCAAAGAGCCAGAAACUGAAGGGCAUGUGACCCUCGGAAAGUGUCCUGGCUAAGAUCCGAAUUUAUACAUCUUCUUCCCAGAGGACACUCUCCAAAGCACAUGGGGUGCUUAUCAUGUUAGUUGUUUUCUGUAUAUAACUCGUACUUUUGCUUCUAUGCAUCUUAGGUCUUGCUUUUCCUCAGGAAUGUUCUUAUUCAUGCCACACUCUUCAGAUUACUGUCCCCCUUUCAAGCCCAGCUAAUGGUCUGGUUAUGAGUGAAACCUUUCUUGACCUUGCAUAACUUUCUUUUCUCUGAUUUCCUAAAGACCUUGAAGUAUGUGCCACUCAUUUGCUUCUAUGUACACACAAUUUCUUACUUGAUAAUUCUUCAAAACAAAAUAUCCCCGCCCUUACUAGACUGAAAUGCCUGUAUGUAUU